GACAGAGGUGCCGAGCGUUAGGCGGAAUCACUGGGCUUAAAGCGUGUGUAGGCGGAGGCCUAAGUCCCUUGUGAAAUCCCACGGCUCAACCGUGGAACUGCUUGGUAUACUGGGUCUCUUGAGCCACCUAGGGGCAAGUGGAACAAACGGUGGAGCGGUGAAAUGCGUAGAGAUCCGGAAGAACACCGGUGGCGAAGGCGGUCUGCUGGGCCAAGACUGACGCUGAGGCGCGACAGCGUGGGGAGCAAACAGG
rnacentral:rRNA from 1 species